UACGGAGGGUGCGAGCGUUAAUCGGAAUUACUGGGCGUAAAGGGUGCGUAGGUGGUUAUGUAAGUUAUCUGUAAAAGCCCAGGGCUCAACCUUGGAAGGCCAGAUAAAACUGUGUAACUCGAGUAUGGGAGAGGGUAGUGGAAUUUCCGGUGUAGCGGUGAAAUGCGUAGAGAUCGGAAGGAACACCAGUGGCGAAGGCGGCUACCUGGCCUGAUACUGACACUGAAGCACGAAAGCGUGGGGAGCAAACAGG
rnacentral:rRNA from 1 species